rnacentral:misc_RNA from 1 species
GUAGUACUGGUUUGUUGAGCUCACCGGAAUCCCAGUUGUUGUUGAAUCCUGACUGAACAUCGGCGGUGGGGGGCCGGAGAAUUUGUCAUAGGAAUUUGGGUUUGUUGAGUACAUGAUUGGUAUGGAUCGAAACCAAAGGGGAUUGUUAAAGCAAAAAGAGAGAUGGAGGAGGAUUUGAGAUCGAAAUUAGAAGAGAGAGACGCAUUUGCUUAGUCCUUGUGGUCUCUGAAACUCUGAAUAAU